rnacentral:lncRNA from 1 species
CAGCAAUGUAAGUAAAAAUGAUAGAUUUAUAACUAGCUUAUUGUAACAUAUUAGCUAGAAGCAGUAUGAGUCAUAAUGUGAUAUUAGUGUCUAAUGUACCUAUAACUGAAGGCUCGCAUGAAGAGCUAGCCUAUCUCAGACUUAGUGGCAUCAAUAUUAAUUAAGAUUCUUAGAAGCUAACCAGAUGUUGCCUGCUAUCUCUUAGGAAAAAAGUUAAUGCAAAAUGAAUUCUAUACUGACAAUCCAUUUCUUUGGAAAUGGUAUUUAAAAUUAUUAGUAUUAGCUUCCUAACAAACUAGCUGUUUUAAAAAUAUUUGCAAAGCAUCUUAUACACAAAAUUGUGUCACUUUCAUUCAUUAGAAUGUUUAUUCUGUUGUACACUACAAAUAAUAGUUUAUAAUAAUAGCUAACAUUUAUUGAGCACUGUCAAUGUGCCAGACUUUAUAUAUAUUCCAUUUAACCUUUUCAACAACUUACAUGAUAUAUAGUUAUUAUCUUUAUUUUAUAGGUGAGGAAACAGAGGCACAAAGAGGUUGUCCUGGGGCACCUGGGUGGCUCAUUUGGUUAAGUGUCCGACUUCAGGUCAGGUCAUGAUCUCGCAGUUUGUGAGUUCAAGCCGCAUGUCGGGUUCUGUGCUGACAGCUCAGAGCCUGGAGCCUGCUUCAGAUUGUGUCUCCCUCUCUCUCUGCCCCUCCCCCGCUCACGCUCUAUCUCUGUCUCUCAAAAAUAAAUCAACAUUUAAAAAAAUGUAAAUACCUUGUCCCAGAAUUACCUAAGAGGCAAAGCCAGGAUAACCUGAGUAGUCUGGUGCUAGAGACGGUGCUUUGCUCACUCACAAUAGUGAUCUGUGAUUUUCAGGUUUCUCUAUUGGUCAAAGGUUUUAGAUCCCAUUAAACAGGAAGGAUAUAAUAUAUAUACAUAUACACACAUACUUAUAGGACUAAACAUUUUAUACAAUUUCUGGUCCAUGGAAAUCCAACAGAAACUAUUAGAAGACAGUCAUACAUCUGGCAGAGAACAUAUGCAUUUAGUAUAUGACAGUCUCAUCCAUGAACUUCAGGUAACUAAGGCGUGCUGGGAAUAGCUUUGUGUUGCUGGAUUCUAGUAAAGAUCAUCACAUGUUUUUCUUUUUUUAAUGUUUGUUUUGAGAGAGUGGGAGCAGGGGAAGGGCAGCGAGAGAGGGGGAGAGAGAGAGAGAGAGAAUAUGAAUCCCAAGCAGGCUCCAUGCUAUCAGUAUAGAGCCCGACAUGGGGUUCAGUCCCACCAACCAUGAAAUCACGACCUGAGCCAAAAUCAAGAGUCAGACACUUAACUGUCUGAGCCACCCAGGUGCCCCAAGAUCAUCACACAUUAGGCAUGUUCUUCUGAGUCUUUAACUUGAGUAGUACUUUCAAAAUACUUGAAAGAAUGAAAGUUGACCUACCACUCAACUUCCUUUUCAGUGGAAAGCAGUGGAGGGAAAAGACAAAGAAAUGAAACUGGACUUCACCUUUGAGGCAUUUCCCUGGGUUCUUUUGACUGUGUUUUGGGCAGUUUCUUCGUGAUCUCACCCAUUCCUUGGCUUUAGUUCUCACCUUAGUGUAGUACUGUAUAUGGUUUCCAAAUCAAUUUGUGACCUUCUCCUGAGCUGUAAACCCACAAGCUCAGCUGCCAUAUAUUGUCCCCCAAGUGUGCUGAUUUUUAUUGUUCCCCCCCCCAAAUUCUUCCUCAUUUCUGUUUUUUCUAGGGAUUACACUCAUCCAGUGAUAAGACUCAAAACCUCAAAUUUCUGUCCCUUUUUGUGGCCCCAUACCCAACUGCUGCCAGGUUAGAUCACUUCCGAAAAUGUUUACCUCUCCUUUCCAUGACCCCUGCACUAGUUUAUUCCUUCAUUACCUCUCAUCCAUAUUAUCCUCCCUAUGGUAACCUGCCUCUCUGCCCCUUGCUCCCUUUCCCCUACAGCCUGUUCUGCUACUGGACAAAUUAUGCUUAAGAAGGUAUCACUCUACCACGUUCACAGUAAAAUCAAAUUUAUACUGACAUUCAGAACUCUCCCUCAUGUGACCACAGCUUUCCUUGUCCUUGUGCCUCAGUCCAGAUUAUGUACCAUUCUUCAGGCACAUUCCUCAGAGAGAAUCUUUCUCAUUCCCUUAUCUUUGUUCCUGUCUCCUUUGCUUGACAUACGUUUUUCCCAUCAUUGUCAAAAACUUACCCGUAUUUCAAAACCUUCUUAUAACUCACCUUACAUUAGGCUUCCUCAGGUCUCUCUUCCAUGUUCUCUCAUUUUGGCCUGUGCCCUAGAAACCUCUGACAGUCACAGUACUCCUGAUACCGUUGUGGCCAGCUUCCCUGUCUGCACAUCAGCUCCUGCCCUUUCACACUUCAGUGAUUAUUCCUCCUGACCUCUAUUAUUUACUGGGGGAAAUAACCCAUACAGAUUCACUCCCAGAGCCUUUAACAAACAAAGCCUUUAUAAAAUCAUGUUAGAAUAAGAGAUACUGUGAGUAAGAGAGGCAGCAACCUAUGGGUCACAGACGUACAAAGACCAGCAAAGGGAUGGUGGAAGCAUGGUGUGGGUUAAAUAGUAAUAGGUGAUACUGCAGGAGAUAUUGGGAUACUUCAUCUAGAAACAAUUGGAUAAAUCAUUUGGUGAACAAAAGUAUAUGGCUUAGUAUAAACAAAGCACUUGCAUAAUGCCAACCUUUUAAAACCUAGUAGUCAAGCUAAAGAUACAAGAUUAAUAUUAUACACAUAAAAUGAUAAUAAUAUAAGGCAAACUAUAAUAAGCAGUACAAAUUCAGACCUCUCUCCCCUCUUCUUUCCAGGAUUCUGACCAAUAGCAAGUACAAAAAGGGACUAGGAGUCCAAUGAGGAUCCAAGUAUCAACUUAAUUAGUUGGAGGAAUUGAUAACCUCCAACAUGGCAGAUCCUCUGGCAGAAACUUGGGGUAACUAAUAUAGAUUGUGCCUAAGGCAGAAAUGGAACCUCCUGUCUCCCACACUGAGUCUAAAUCUUGAACCCUGUGAAUCUAAACCUUGAACCUGAGGAGAAAGCCGGAACUUUGAAAUAGACCUGCCUAUGCUUUAUUGCAGAUGAGAUAGAUAAAAUGGGCUGGUCUCUUUACAACAUGAAAUUAGGAAGCACAAAGAUGCAUUGGACUUGAGAGUAGACAGUGAUGGGAAAGAGUGUUGUGUAAAAAGAGUGACAUAUAAUAUUACUGGCAAAAUGUGGGCCAAUGUUCUGGACUUUGGCCAGUCAAGUUUGUCACUCCUCCAUGGAGUAUAGAGAGCAGAAUAAUUGACAGUUCCUUCCUCUUCAGACCAAGGAGUAUAAACUAAGAACCAAAUGAAGAAUAAGCAAUAGUAUAGGAAUACACAACAGACAUAGAUCACCUCAGGAUGGAGUGAUUAGGUUGUUAUUUAAGAGUUCAUUCUUUGAAAAUCAAUUCUAGUUAUUUCACUCUACAUUAUGUCUGACAGAGGACCUUCCAGACCCUAGUAAUGGAAACUUUGUGCUUUACUAAGAAGCUUGAAUUUGAAAAAUGGGUAAUUUUGAUGGGCUGUAUAAACAUACGAGGCAGAGAGAACAACAUGAACAAAAAGGCAGAAAAGCAGAACGAUUGAACAGUAGGUUCAACCACAUCAUUGACAGUUAUGAUCACUAGGGUUAAUAAGUUCAGACUUUAUUCAUUAGGCAGAAGUGGACCAGUGAAGAUUAUUGUUUAGGGAAGUAACAAUCCAAAAUAUAUUUUAGAGAGAAUAUAGUUGUUAUACGAAGGAUGAAUUCUGUCAAAAUACUGCUCAUGAACUGCAUCACUAUGUCUAACUUGUAUUUCGUUUGUGUUCUGAGAUAAUUCAUCUCCAGAGCCAGUAUGGCAGUGUAGAGAUAAUACACAUGCUAUGCUCCCUUCUAGCAGUCAUGAUUAAUCGAUGAAACUUCUCUGCAUGGUCUGGCAUUAUAACAGAGGACAGAAUUUGGAUUACACGUCCCGCACCAGCUAUGCUACCUACUUAGCUCUGUGGCCUUAAGUAAGGCACUUGGUUUCCCUAAAUCUUAAUUAUAAAAUGGGACUGAUAAUAUCUACCUUGUGAGAUUGUACAGAAUAAGCUUAACUAGCACCUCCCCCAUAGUAACUAUUUAAUGAUAGUCUUCCUUUCCUGAAUGGUAUUGUCAUUAGUUCUGAUAACUAUGUAUCAAUAACCUACAGGGAUAUUAAGUCAAUACUAGAGUGCUUAAAAUCUUCUAUAGGAAUUCAGACCAGACUCAAGUUGGCAAGAGUUGGUUGUUAAGUUGGCAACCUACAUUCUUCUAGGACAAGAAUAUAUGUGGACUCCCAUGAAUAGGGAAAUAUAGGGGACUACCAUGCAUUACUUCUUCAUGGCUGCCGGUGUAAGCAUGAAUGGGGUAUUUCAGGAAUCAAAGGUCCACAUACCCUAUGGGAAAUGUGUCAUCACUUGCCAAUAGCUGCUCUUGUCAAAGACGUCCUCUCACACAAAGGUCCUAAGCCAAAUGACAAGAACUUCUGCCACCACUAGGAGUCCCCAGAGGACACUCGCCGAAUAGGAAUGUCAGUAAAUACAGUCUCUUUUUUUGGGGGGCAGCUGUUGGAGGAAACACCUGCUGAAAGGCCCUUAAGGCUUACAGACAAAAGGCAUGUAGAUUUUGGUGUUUUCAGCAAGUAGAUCAUGUAGGAGUUUCAGAAAUCUCUCAGAAGUAUCUCAGAUAAAUCUUCACAUAAAGUGAAGAGUGUGAUGUCUGAGUAAUCAUACUGACAAUUAUUUGUGAAGGUGAAUGUUGCUUAGAAGAUUCAAAAAUAAGCAAAUGAGAGAUUGCCAAUAUCUAAACUAGGUACCAAAUUACAUGGUAAAUGGGUGUUUAAAUCGUGUCUUAAGUAGUGUAUGAGAUGCAUGUUAAUUUGGAAACUAAUUCUUGAUUUAACAAUCAUCUUUUAUAUCCUGCAGACAUUUAGAAGAAAUGCACUUACUAUGGACACCAACUUCUUCUGCAUCUGCCUGAUCAUAUUUAAAGGAACAGAAGAAAUGUUUGUAAUUAAUCUGCCCAGUAAAUACCAGAUCAUAGCACUAGGCAGGUGUGUGUCUAGAUAAAAUUUCUUGCAGCUAAUUUAAACUUUCUACACACAGCAGUAGAUAAUCUCAAUGUAAAUAAUACAUUUCUUCUUGACCCUUUAAUGUAAGCCAACAUGUAGAACAAGAUCUUGACUUCAAUUCUGUAUCACAUACACUUCUGUAUACUUUUAGCAUUUGUGGAUAGACUUAGAACAUUUAUGAAAAUGGCACCUUUGGUAAAACUGUAUGUUUUAAAGCUCAGAUUAAAUCUAAUGGUGAGUGGAAUUAGGUACCACUUUCCCAUUUAAAGCCCCAGAUGUGUAUUUAUUAGAUUUUUUUACACUUACAGAAUUUUUCAAGAAGUUUAUUGUAUAGCCACUGUCUCGGGGACGAGUCUUUAUUAUAUUCUAGUUAUUCCUAUGUUUGUGCAGAAAAACUAUUUCAAUGUUUAAAAAUUUUUAUACCUUUUAUAGAAUAGUGGAAUGCAUUUUUCAGUACAUUUUAAAAUAUGAAGUUGUUCUUAAACUGAACUACACACUGUACUGAAUUGAAAGGACCUUUCUUAUGGGUCAGGAAUCAUUUUGAUUCCUUCCAAAUGAUUUUGAAACAUUAUUUUAAAUUUCUAUUUUUCUGUGGUGUUAUUUUGUAUUAUAAUCAUCUGUACUCUCACGAAACAAGGGGAAGAGGGUAUCACAGGAUGUGUUAUAACUUGAUAACACGGUUUUUUAAAACUUCUGUAUUUUUCUUUGACCACUUCUGCAGGGGAAGAAAUGCUAUUCCCUUGGUACUUGCCCUAAGUCUCGAUAAAAUUUGUGGAAGAUACUACUGUAUCAUGAAAUAAAAAUACUGUAUGAAAAUCUGAAACAAAAUUUAACUUGUUUGAAAAUAACUGAUUUUCCAUUUAGAGAAAUUUCAGAUUUACUUCUUAAAAUGAAAAUGGGUUUUAAGAACUAUUAAAUGACAUAGAUACUAAAUAGUAACCCAAUUAACUAUUAAACCUAAUUGCCUUCACUAAUGACUUUAUUGGUACUAUUUAAAUAAGACUUUUAAGAUAAUCUGCUAAAUAUUAAGAACACUUUGUGUUACAGUCCUUGUAAUAGGAUAUUACUGAAAAUAUACCAAAAAGAAUAAUUCUUUUUGUGUUCUAGCACUGAAAACUAACCUUAGGAUGUAAAUAAAGCCAAAGCAUAUAAAGAAACUUACAUUAGUCAGGAAUUAAAGGGUUAAGAAGUAGUUUGGUUUCAUAUGUAAUGCAAGUUAUGUAGGUAUGUACUUAAUGCUAUUAAAUCAGUUACUGUAUGUUUGACCUCUUGAUAUACUAAGCUUUUGCCUUUCAGAACAGCUGGGUCUGCUAAGAAUCAUUUCCCAGUCCUCUUCAUUGUAGAUCAGAUGACUCUCGCUUUAUCACCCUUGGAGGCCACAUGAAGGACAAAGCAGAAAGAUCCACACACAAAACUAAUGUUUAUAUGGGGGGAGGGGGUGCGGCAUGGAGGAAGGCGGGGGAUACACUUGGCCCUGAUCUUCCAAUGAACAUAACAGAAGAGAGACCAAUUGAGACUUGAAACCCCUGUGUUAACUCCAGCCAUUAUUUAGUUACAUCCUAUCCAUCUUUUACUCUUUCUAUUGAACAGAGAGGCUCCUUUGGCUGCCCUGACUUUUGUAAAUGUUUCACUCACUUAGUUGUGGUUUAUCAUUUGGACAGAAUGCUACAUCUGGGAUUUUUCUCCCCUCCUUAAGGCCUCAAAGGAAAAUGGCUUCUGUAUGCUUCAUAUUUGAUACAUGAACAUGCACCCUGUUCUCUUCAUUUUAAGAAGCAAACCUAAGUUUAUUGGCAACAGAGAAAACUGCAUUUCUCAGAAAGGGCCCUUCCCUCUAAAAUGAACUUGAAAAUAACUUAGAAGGGUUCAUUUUUUUGACAGAUUAGUGAAGUGAGAAAUCUUUAAUAUUUUUGCAUUACCUAAAUAUCUUUAUAUUUAGAUAUCCAAGUAAUCCUGUCACUGAAAUACUUUAGAAUUGCCUAUUUCUGUGUUUUUAAUUCAUCACUGGACAUUUUUGGUAUUUUGUUUUUGUUUUUUAAUGUUUAUUUUUGAGAGAGAGAAAACAAAGCAGGUGAGUGGCACAGAGAGAGGAAGACACAGAAUCUGAAGCAGGCUCCAGGCUCUGAGCUGUCAGCACAAAGCCCAACACAGGGCUUGAACCCAUGACCAUUAGAAGUCAGACGCUUAACCAACUGAGCCAUCCAGGUGCCCCCAUUUUUGGUAUUUUGGAACCUAAUCCAAGUUCAGAGUGGACUCUUCUUAAAUUGGUUUCUAACAGAUAGUUAAGACAUACUUAUAAUUGCUACAAGUCUCCAUAAAAGCUACAAUGUUAACUCAAUAUGACUAGGUUAAAUCAUCUAGAAAAUGUAUAAAGAAUUUGCCCAUAACAUCCUUUGAAUAUGUACAUAGUCUAUUAAUAUUUACAUACUUUUUCAAAUAAUGUUUCUCUGUUCCAGUUAUUUAGAACUUCCUCAUCGAUUUAAAUCAACAUCCUGUGUUAAACCUAUGUAUGCUAUUCCAAAAAAUAAAAAAUAAAAAAAUAGGACUACACCAGCCAGCCAAGAUGCUGACAUUUGGGCACAGUGAUUACAGAUGGUGACCAUGGACAGCAGUGUUCCUGCUGAUUCGGCAGUGAUUCAAGGCUGCUUUUCUGUGCUGACCUGCCCUUUGAGUCUUUAUGCACAUUUGCUUCGAAAAAGAAAUACUUCCUGAUUUUUGCUUUGUCUAAAUCUAUUUACUUCCUUUAUCAGACUUAGAAGUACAUACCUUCUUGUAUCAGCCUGUGGCUGUCCA